AGAACGAACGCUGGCGGCGUGGAUAAGACAUGCAAGUCGAACGCUCAACUUUCAGUAGCAAUAUUGGAGGUUGGGAGUGGCGCAAGGGUGCGUAACACGUGGAUCAUCUACCUGGAAGUUUGGAAUAAUUCCGAGAAAUCGGGACUAAUGCCGGAUGUGGCGGAAACGCUAAAGUUGGGGACCGCAAGGCCUGACGCUUCCAGAUGAGUCCGCGGCCUAGUCAGCUAGUUGGCGGGGUAACGGCCCACCAAGGCUAAGACGGUAGCCUGGUCUGAGAGGACGACCAGCCUCACUGGAACUGAGACGACGGUCCAGACACCGUACGGGUGCAGCAGGUCAGUAAUUUUC
rnacentral:rRNA from 1 species